UACGUAGGGGGCAAGCGUUGUCCGGAUUUAUUGGGCGUAAAGAGCGUGUAGGCGGCCAGGUAGGUCUGCUGUGAAAACUCGAGGCUUAACCUCGAGAUGUCGGCGGAAACCAUCUGGCUAGAGUCCGGAAGAGGAGAAUGGAAUUCCUGGUGUAGCGGUGAAAUGCGCAGAUAUCAGGAAGAACACCGAGUGGCGAAGGCAGGUCUCUGGACGGGUACUGACGCUGGAGACGCGAAAGCGUGGGGAGCGAACAGG
rnacentral:rRNA from 1 species